UGGUUCUGGCAUCGAUGAAGAACGCAGCGAAAUGCGAUAAGUAAUGUGAAUUGCAGAAUUCAGUGAAUCAUCGAAUCUUUGAACGCACAUUGCGCCCAUUAGUAUUCUAGUGGGCAUGCCUGUUCGAGCGUCAUUUUGACCAUUAAGCCCUGUCGCUUAGCGUUGGGAGCCUACUGGCACAGCCUGUAGCUCCUCAAAAUUAGUGGCGGAGUCAGCACAUACUCUAGGCGUAGUAACUUCUAAAGCUCGCUUCUGUGGUUGUGCCGGCGCCUGCCGUAAAACCCCUAAUUUUUUAAGGUUGACCUCGGAUCAGGUAGGAAUACCCGCUGA
rnacentral:misc_RNA from 1 species